GACGAACGCUGGCGGCGUGCUUAACACAUGCCAGUCGAACGGAAAGACCCUGCUUUUGUGGGGUGCUCGAGUGGCGAAAGGGUGAGUAACACGUGAGUAACCUGCCCUUGACUUUGGGAUAACUUCAGGAAACUGGGGCUAAUACCGGAUAGGAGCUCCUGCUGCAUGGUGGGGGUUGGAAAGUUUCGGCGGUUGGGGAUGGACUCGCGGCUUAUCAGCUUGUUGGUGGGGUAGUGGAUUACCAAGGCGAUGACGGGUAGCCGGACUGAGAGGGUGACCGGCCACAUUGGGACUGGGAUACGGGCCGGACUCCUACGGGAGGCAUCGGUGGAGAAUAGUGCACACUGGGCGGAAGCCUGAUGCAGCAACGCCGCGUGCGGGAUGACGGCCUUCGGGGUGUAAACCGCUUUCGCCUGUGACGAAGCGUGAGUGACGGUAAUGGGUAAAGAAGCACCGGCUAACUACGUG
rnacentral:rRNA from 1 species